CCUACGGGUGGCAGCAGUGGGGAAUAUUGGACAAUGGGGGCAACCCUGAUCCAGCCAUGCCGCGUGUGUGAAGAAGGCCCUCGGGUUGUAAAGCACUUUCAGUGAGGAAGAACGCCUGGUGGUUAAUACCCAUCAGGAAAGACAUCACUCACAGAAGAAGCACCGGCUAACUCCGUGCCAGCAGCCGCGGUAAUACGGAGGGUGCGAGCGUUAAUCGGAAUUACUGGGCGUAAAGCGCGUGUAGGUGGCUUGAUAAGCCGGUUGUGAAAGCCCCGGGCUCAACCUGGGAACGGCAUCCGGAACUGUCAAGCUAGAGUGCAGGAGAGGAAGGUAGAAUUCCCGGUGUAGCGGUGAAAUGCGUAGAGAUCGGGAGGAAUACCAGUGGCGAAGGCGGCCUUCUGGACUGACACUGACACUGAGGUGCGAAAGCGUGGGUAGCAAACAGGAUUAGAUACCCCUGUAGUC
rnacentral:rRNA from 1 species